UAGUCAUAUGCUUGUCUCAAAGAUUAAGCCAUGCAUGUCUAAGUAUAAAUAGUAUACAGUGAAACUGCGAAUGGCUCAUUAAAACAGUUAUAGUUUAUUUGAUAAUCGAAUGCUACAUGGAUAACCGUGGUAAUUCUAGAGCUAAUACAUGCUGUCUACCUGACUUUACGGAAAGGUUGUAUUUAUUAGAUAUCAAGCCAAUUUCCUUCGGGAAUUGUGGUGAAUCAUAGUAACUGAUCGAAUCCCAGAAUUUUGGGAUAAAUCAUUCAAGUUUCUGCCCUAUCAGCUUUCGAUGGUAGUGUAUUGGACUACCAUGGCAGUCACGGGUAACGGAGAAUUAGGGUUCGAUUCCGGAGAGGGAGCCUGAGAAACGGCUACCACAUCUAAGGAAGGCAGCAGGCGCGUAAAUUACCCAAUCCUGAUUCAGGGAGGUAGUGACAAGAAAUAACAACCUGGGGGACUCACGUCCUUCGGGAUUGCAAUGAGGACAAUUUAAAACACCUAGCGAGGAACAAUU
rnacentral:rRNA from 1 species